AUGAACGCUGGCGGCGUGCCUAAUACAUGCAAGUCGAGCGAGAAGACGUAGCAAUACGUUUGUAAAGCGGCGAACGGGUGAGGAAUACAUGGGUAACCUACCCUCGAGUGGGGAAUAACUAGCCGAAAGGUUAGCUAAUACCGCGUACGCUUCUUGGACUUCGGUUCAGGGAGGAAAGCGAUGCCGAGGGUAUCGCGCUCUUGGAUGGGCUCAUGUCCUAUCAGCUUGUUGGUGAGGUAACGGCUCACCAAGGCUUCGACGGGUAGCUGGUCUGAGAGGACGAUCAGCCACACUGGCACUGCGACACGGGCCAGACUCCUACGGGAGGCAGCAGUAAGGAAUAUUGCGCAAUGGGCGAAAGCCUGACGCAGCGACGCCGCGUGGGGGAUGAAGGUCUUCGGAUUGU
rnacentral:rRNA from 1 species